UUUAUGAUCUUGUUGCUGAGGUGGUUGGAGACACAGUCAUGAGUGUAGAGGGUGUAGAGAAGUGGGCUGAGCACGCAACCCUGUGGCGAUCCGGUGUUCAGGCUCAGAGCAGUGGAGGUGUGGGGGCCCAGCCUGACCCUCUGGGAGCGACCUGUUAGGAAGUUCAGGAUCCAACUGUAGGUGGCUGAUGGGAGCCCAAGGUUUGCUAGCUUGGACACCAGCCAUUUUUCCCAUGUUUU